AUGCUUAGUCCUGACCUGCCUGACUCUGCCUGGAACACCAGGCUCCUCUGCCGUGUCAUGCUUUGUCUCCUGGGAGCAGGUUCAGUGGCUGCUGGAGUCAUCCAGUCCCCAAGACAUCUGAUCAAAGAAAAGAGGGAAACAGCCACUCUGAAAUGCUAUCCUAUCCCUAGACACGACACUGUCUACUGGUACCAGCAGGGUCCAGGUCAGGACCCCCAGUUCCUCAUUUCGUUUUAUGAAAAGAUGCAGAGCGAUAAAGGAAGCAUCCCUGAUCGAUUCUCAGCUCAACAGUUCAGUGACUAUCAUUCUGAACUGAACAUGAGCUCCUUGGAGCUGGGGGACUCAGCCCUGUACUUCUGUGCCAGCAGCUUAGG